AUCAGUGAAGCUGGAAGACUGCAGUCAAACACUGGAGUUGAMUGUCAACAUUAAAGAUGAAGAGGAGGAGGAGAUUGGGACAUCUGUUUCUCAUGGAGACCAUGUUGAGACAUUCUCCACAUCCAGAGAGCAACAGCAGGAAGAUCACAGAGCUAAGAGGUUUCACCAUUGCCCACAUUGUGAGGAGAUUUUCCCAUUUCUAUCAAAGCUAAAAAUACACCUAAAAAUACACACAGGAGAGAAUCUGUAUUCCUGCACUGACUGUGGGARRAGCUU